rnacentral:rRNA from 1 species
GGCCAGACUCCUACGGGAGGCAGCAGUGGGGAAUAUUGCACAAUGGGGGGAACCCUGAUGCAGCAACGCCGCGUGGGUGAAGAAGUACUCCGGUAUGUAAAGCCCUGUCAGCAGGGAAGAAAAUGACGGUACCUGACCAAGAAGCCCCGGCUAACUACGUGCCAGCAGCCGCGGUAAUACGUAGGGGGCAAGCGUUAUCCGGAUUUACUGGGUGUAAAGGGAGCGUAGACGGCAAGGCAAGUCUGGAGUGAAAGCCCGUGGCCCAACCACGGGACUGCUUUGGAAACUGUGUUGCUGGAGUGCAGGAGGGGUAAGCGGAAUUCCUGGUGUAGCGGUGAAAUGCGUAGAUAUCAGGAGGAACACCGGCGGCGAAGGCGGCCUGCUGGACCGCGACUGACGUUGAGGCUCGAAAGCGUGGGGAGCGAACAGGAUUAGAUACCCCGGUA